rnacentral:rRNA from 1 species
UAUAGGUUUGGUCCCAGCCUUCCUGUUAACUUUCAAUAGACUUAUACAUGCAAGCAUCCACGCCCCGGUGAGUAACGCCCUUCGAAUCACACAGGACUAAAAGGAGCAGGUAUCAAGCACACACUCUUGUAGCUCACAACGCCUUGCUUAACCACACCCCCACGGGAGACAGCAGUAACAAAAAUUAAGCCAUAAACGAAAGUUUGACUAAGCCAUAUUGACUAGGGUUGGUAAAUCUCGUGCCAGCCACCGCGGUCAUACGAUUGACCCAAGCUAACAGGAGUACGGCGGAAAGCGUGUUAAAGCAUCAUACUAAAUAGAGUUAAAUUUUAAUUAAACUGUAAAAAGCCAUAAUUAUAACAAAAAUAAAUGACGAAAGUAACCCUACAAUAGCUGAUACACCAUAGCUAAGACCCAAACUGGGAUUAGAUACCCCACUAUGCUUAGCCCUAAACACAAAUAAUUAU